GCAAGUCGAACGAACCCGAGACUUCGGUCUCAAUGGGUGAGUGGCGAACGGGUGAGUAACACGUGAGAAACCUGCCUCGGAGUACGGGAUAACCCAAGGAAACUUGGGCUAAUACCGCAUACCUUCCAGACACCGCAUGGUGACUGGAAGAAAGAUUUAUCGCUCUGAGAGGGUCUCGCGGUCUAUCAGCUAGUUGGUGAGGUAACGGCUCACCAAGGCUUCGACGGAUAGCUAGUCUGAGAGGACGAAU
rnacentral:rRNA from 1 species